rnacentral:lncRNA from 1 species
AACAUAUCAAAAUAACAUCCCAUCGUCGUUCGAUCGAGGUCGAACCCUUAUCUUUUUUGGCGUAGGCUCUUGGCCAUAAAGGGUGUUAUUUCGAACUUAUUGAAAUAACAGCCCGUCAUUAUUCAAUCGAGGUCGAACCCUUCUCUUUUUUGGGGAAGGCCCUUGGCCUUAAAGGGUGUUAUUUUAGACUUGUCGAAAUAACCACCUAUCGUUGCUCGAUCGAGAUCAAACCCUUCUCUUUUUUGGCGAAGUCCCUUGGCUUUAAAUGGUGUUAUUUCGAACUUAUCGAAAUAACCACCUAUCAUUGCUCGAUCAAGGUCAAACCCUUCAUUUUUUUGGCGAUGAACCUUGGCCUUAAAUGGUUUUAUUUCGACCUUAUCGAAAUAUCAACUCGUCGUUGUUCGAUCAAGGUCGAACCCUUCUCUUUUUUGGCAAAGGCCCUUGGCCUUAAAGGGUGAUAUUUCGAACUUAUCGGAAUAACAACCCAUCAUUGUUCGACUGAGGUCAA